AAUGAAUGUAAAGAUGCAGCGUCAGUGUGUGGUCAAUACUCAGACUGUACUAACAGGAUUGGGGGUUACUUGUGUUCAUGCUGGAAUGGAUUUAAUGUCUCUAAUGAAGACAGUCCUGUGAGCGUCAACAACUCUUGUCGUGAUAUUAAUGAAUGUCUGGAUAGUCCAACAGUUUGUGGUCCAUAUUCCAACUGCACAAAUAAAUUAGGAAGUUACAAUUGCUCAUGUUUGGAUGGUUUCACUGUAGCAAACUUAAAUCUCACCAUCAGAAUCAAUAACACCUGUGAAGAUGUGGAUGAAUGUGUAGAGAUGUCAGAAAUCUGUGGUUCAAACUCAAUCUGCAACAACACUAUUGGGAGUUACAAUUGCACAUGCAUGAGUGGAUAUAAUGUAACUGAUCCAAACCUCCCUAUAAACAGCAAUAACACAUGCA